rnacentral:rRNA from 1 species
ACAAGCAGCGGAGCGUGUGGUUUAAUUCGAUGCAACGCGAAGAACCUUACCAGGGCCUGACAUGCUUGAGGUGAAACUCGAAAGAGGGACGACCUGUAUCCAAUCAGGAGCUUGCACAGGUGCUGCAUGGCUGUCGUCAGCUCGUGCCGUGAGGUGUUAGGUUAAGUCCUGCAACGAGCGCAACCCUCGUCGCUAGUUAAUUUUUCUAGCGAUACUGCCCGUAUAACGCGGAGGAAGGUGGGGAUGACGUCAAGUCAGCAUGGCCCUUACGUCCUGGGCUACACACACGCUACAAUGGGUGAUACAAAAGGUUGCAAUAGAGUGAUCUGGAGCUAAUCCUGAAAAUCAUCCUCAGUUCGGAUUGUAGGCUGAAACUGCCUGCAUGAAGUUGGAGUUGCUAGUAACCGCAGGUCAGCACACUGCGGUGAAUACGUUCUCGGGCCUU